GUAACGGCGAGUGAAGCGGCAACAGCUCAAAUUUGAAAUCUGGCCUCCGGGUCCGAGUUGUAAUUUGUAGAGGAUGCUUUUGGCGAGGUGCCUUCCGAGUUCCCUGGAACGGGACGCCAUAGAGGGUGAGAGCCCCGUCUGGUCGGACACCGAGCCUCUGUAAAGCUCCUUCGACGAGUCGAGUAGUUUGGGAAUGCUGCUCAAAAUGGGAGGUAUAUGUCUUCUAAAGCUAAAUAUUGGCCAGAGACCGAUAGCGCACAAGUAGAGUGAUCGAAAGAUGAAAAGCACUUUGAAAAGAGGGUUAAAAAGUACGUGAAAUUGUUGAAAGGGAAGCGCCUAUGACCAGACUUGGGCCCGGUGAAUCAUCCAGCGUUCUCGCUGGUGCACUUUGCCGGGCACAGGCCAGCAUCAGUUUGGCGCGGGGGAAAAAGGUUUUGGGAAUGUGGCUCCCUCGGGAGUGUUAUAGCCCAUUGCGUAAUACCCUGCGCCGGACUGAGGUACGCGCAUCGCAAGGAUGCUGGCGUAAUGGUCAUCAGCGACCCGUCUUGAAACACGGACCAAGGAGUCGUCUUCGUAUG
rnacentral:rRNA from 1 species